CACUCCUGCGGGAGGCAGCAGUGGGGAAUAUUGCACAAUGGGCGGAAGCCUGAUGCAGCAACGCCGCGUGCGGGAUGACGGCCUUCGGGUUGUAAACCGCUUUCGCCUGUGACGAAGCGUGAGUGACGGUAAUGGGUAAAGAAGCACCGGCUAACUACGUGCCAGCAGCCGCGGUGAUACGUAGGGUGCGAGCGUUGUCCGGAUUUAUUGGGCGUAAAGGGCUCGUAGGUGGUUGAUCGCGUCGGAAGUGUAAUCUUGGGGCUUAACCCUGAGCGUGCUUUCGAUACGGGUUGACUUGAGGAAGGUAGGGGAGAAUGGAAUUCCUGGUGGAGCGGUGGAAUGCGCAGAUAUCAGGAGGAACACCAGUGGCGAAGGCGGUUCUCUGGGCCUUUCCUGACGCUGAGGAGCGAAAGCGUGGGGAGCGAACAGGCUUAGAUACCCCAGUAGUCCCAUGAU
rnacentral:rRNA from 1 species